rnacentral:rRNA from 1 species
UACGUAGGGUGCGAGCGUUGUCCGGAAUUAUUGGGCGUAAAGAGCUUGUAGGCGGUUUGUCGCGUCUGCCGUGAAAUUUCGAGGCUCAACCUCGAACUUGCGGUGGGUACGGGCAGACUAGAGUGUGGUAGGGGAGACUGGAAUUCCUGGUGUAGCGGUGAAAUGCGCAGAUAUCAGGAGGAACACCGAUGGCGAAGGCAGGUCUCUGGGCAUUAACUGACGCUGAGGAGCGAAAGCAUGGGGAGCGAACAGG